GUAGGUGAACCUGCGGAAGGAUCAUUAAUGAGUGAGGGUCUCCGGGCCCGACCUCCAACCCUUUGUCGUUACAAAACCACUUUGUUGCUUUGGCGUGGCCCGCGCGGCCCCCUUCACCGGGGGCCGGGCUGCCGGUCUUCGGCCCGGCAUGCGCCCGCCAGAGGUAUAAAACCAAACUCUUGUUUUAACAGUACGUCUGAGUAAAAAUGAUUAAAUCAAUCAAAACUUUCAACAACGGAUCUCUUGGUUCUG
rnacentral:misc_RNA from 1 species